rnacentral:rRNA from 1 species
UAGGGAAUAUUGGACAAUGGGGGGAACCCUGAUCCAGCCAUGCCGCGUGGAGGAAGACUGCCCUCUGGGUUGUAAACUCCUUUUAUAUGGGAAGAACCGUCCUCAUUGAUGAGUGACCUGACGGUACCAUAGGAAUAAGCACCGGCUAACUCCGUGCCAGCAGCCGCGGUAAUACGGAGGGUGCAAGCGUUAUCCGGAUUCACUGGGUUUAAAGGGUGCGUAGGCGGAUAUGUAAGUCAGUGGUGAAAUCAACGGGCUCAACCUGUUAACUGCCAUUGAUACUGUGUAUCUUGAAUAUGAGAGAGGCAGGCGGAAUGUUGCAUGUAGCGGUGAAAUGCUUAGAUAUGCUACGGAACACCGAUUGCGAAGGCAGCUUACUAUUUCGUAAUUGACGCUGAGGCACGAAAGCGUGGGUAGCGAACA